UAGAUAGAUACACUAGUUUUUUUUACUACUAGUUAGUUAAACUUAGAUCCUUUCUUCAAAAUCAUCACGAUGACCAAACCUGAAAGACCACCGUCAAGCCGCACCAACCUCGCCUCAUGUGUCGUCGCCACCAUUUUCUUAGUCUUCGUCUUCAUCAUCAUCUUCACUCUUUACUUCACACUUUUCAAACCACAGGAUCCUAAAAUCUCCGUCACCGCCGUCCAACUCCCUUCCUUCUCCCUCACAAACAACGGCACAUCAGCUAAUUUAACUUUCUCCCAAUACGCUUCCGUUAGAAACCCUAACAGAGGAACGUUCUCACACUACGAUAGCUCCUUUCAGCUUCUCUGCUAUGGAAGACAAAUCGGUUUCAUGUUUGUUCCCGCCGGGAAGAUCAAUGCGAGGAGAACGGAAUACAUGGCCGCCACGUUUACCGUUCAGUCGCUUCCGUUGGGGUUGGAGGGAAAUAGUUCUGAUGGAGUUAAUAGAGUUGGGCCGACGAUGGAGAUUGAGUCGACGAUAGAGAUGGCGGGAAGGGUGAGAGUGUUGAAUCUGUUCAGUCAUCAUGUGGAGGCGAAAGCUGAAUGCAGAGUCGCCAUCGCCGUCGCGGAUGGAACCGUUAUAGACCUCAAAUCUGAAUUUCACCCUACUAAAAUAGAAGAGCUGAAGAUGGAAGAAUAUCUUGUCAAAAUGAAGAAUCUUGGUGACAAACUGAAGCUUGCAGGUGCACCUAUGUCAAACUUUGAUUUGACGAUUCAAACACUCAAGGACUUAGACUUGGAUUACAAUUCAGUAGUUGUCAAACUAUCUGAUCAGAUCAAUCUAUCUACAGGGCCUGUGAAGCAUGAGUACUCUAUUUUAGACAAAGUACCGGUACCGGGUACACAUACGGUACUCGUAUGGUACAAUGUACCUAUUUUUUAUAUUAGAGUUUCUUAAGAGUGACGGUAAAGAUGAGGUUGGGGGAUAGAUGAACUUGGACGGGACAAUGACAUCAGUACCUUGUACUCCUCCUUCCUCGUCCAACUUUUCAUCACUUCUUUGAACAUUUACUUCAGUGGCACAGGUCAAUGAAUUUGUAUUCUUCACUACGUCGCCUUCACGAUCUAAUAUGGACAAACAGAUAUGGAAGGCUCUUCUAGGAGAGACUUAAAGAAGAUCUAUAUCAAGUGUCAAAUGCCAUCCCCCAAUCAAAUAAAGACUUAUGUACCUACAUGCCUGUCAAAGAGAGUUGGCACAAGAAGCUUAGGCACCCUAACAAUAAAAUCCUAGAUAAAGUGUUGAAACAUUGUAAUGUGAAGACCUCAUCUAGUGACCAAAUUCAAUUUUGUGAGGCUUUUCAAUUCGGGAAGCUACACAUGUUACCCUUUAAGUCAUCUAGUUCUUAUGCUCAGGAACCCAUAUAGUUAAUUCACACUGAUGUAUGGGGUCAUGCAUCAAUAAUAUCAAAUUCAGACAUUAAAUAUUAUGUCCAUUUACUUGAUGA